GUUGCAUUUCAACAAUAUUAGAUGGCAACUUGAACCCUAAACCCACUUCUGGAGUUGCUUCAACGGGCGGAUCUACCAUAGUGCGUUUAAAUUUCUCUUGCCUUUUCUGACUACGCGUUUUGCGAGACUUCCCGGGUUUUGUCUCAAGCUCAGCAUCAUAGAAAGGUAAAGCGCAGAGAAGUGGCAGAUUCGCAUCUGUAUUUUUAGCUUGAGCUCUCGUAACCGCAACAGCACUUCCUCUUGUGUCCAACAGGUCAUAAAGAACUGGCAGGUCAUGACCCAAAACAACUGGGAAAGGAAGGUCAUCAACAACUCCUACUUUCAGAAGAUACAUCUGUCCUUGAAUUUCCAAGUAGAGAUCAGCAGUAGGAUAAAGUCUUUUAUCACCAUGUACACAGCAGAUGGAAACUGUCUCUUGAGGGGAAACAAGGUUGACUGGUACAUGUUGUCGAUGAAUUAAAGUCUGUGUACUGCCAGUGUCAAUCAGUGCAUUGCAACAUUUCCCAUUCACUUUAACAGUGGUCAUUUUAAUAGGCUGGUUAGCUCGACUUUCCAAAGCAUGGCUCUGAUAUGGAACAAAACACAUCUGAGUGAGCUUUGCUGAAUUUCUUGGGCAAAGGGGUUUAAUAUGUCCUUCCUGCCCACACAAAUAGCAGAUUGGUGGUUUAUUGGAAGAUUUUGCUGGUUUACUCAUCUGAUCAUCCUGCACAGGCAUUCUCGGUGUUCCUGGAGCCAGUCUGUGGUGGUGGUGUUGUGGGGCUGUUGGCCUGCAGUUCUUUGAGACGGGCAUAAAGCUCCUUGGGACUUUCGUCGGGGCCCCCUUCCAAGGAACGAAAUCUCUGUCGGUAAGACUCAGGGCUGAUGUCAUAUUUAUGCAAGAUUGCAGUUUUAACUUUUUCAUAGUUCAAAGAAUCAUCGACAUCCAUGUUAACAUAGGCACUUCUGGCCUUACCAGUGAGCAGUGGGAUGAGGCGGAAAACCCAGUCUGACUCCACCCACUUGCACGCUGUUGCUAUGCGUUCAAAAGUUAUUAGGAAAUGUUCAAUGUCAUCGUUUUCUGUUAGCUUUUCUAACCUGGGAUCCAUAGAGAAGCGAGGGUGAGUGGUUACUUGCUGUGCCCCUGCUGUCUGAUGUACGGCCUGUGGCAGCCGAUCAUCUGAACCAGACUCCUCCGUUGGAUCAGGGGCUGAUGAGGUGUAAUCAGGAACAGGUGACGUCCGGGCCUGCACCUCCAUCUGCAAAAGUUGGAACUGAUGCUGCAGGCCUUUUAGCCUGUGUUCCUGCUGCUUUGCUUCCUCCUGGAGUCUCAUUUCUCGGGCUUCCUGUUGUCCCAUGAAGGCCUGGAGAAUACUAGUGAGAUGUUGCAAUGUUGGCUCUUCACCCUCAGUACCUGUACUAGCUCCUGAAGCUCCAGCCUCCUCCUCCUCUCCAUUGUCCAUGUUGGCAGUGCUGUAGUCCUUAUGUUCAAUGCGUGCUCUUGUAGUCCUUCCUCCUCGUUGCAUGGCUCACAAAAAAAAAUUUCAGGGGAUUGCCGGGGGGGGAAGAGGAAAAAAAAA